GCUUCGUCCAGGUCCAGCGCCUUCCGGUUGACCUCCAGCGUCAUGCAGCCGCGGUAGAAGGCCGUGACCGGGGCCGAGGUCAUGGGCACAUCUGGGCCGCGGGAAAAGAGCAAGCGUGUCUCAGCAGGUGAGCUGCCCGGAGCCUGUAAGCC